rnacentral:tRNA from 1 species
GGGGCGAUAGCUCAGCUGGAAGAGCGCUACAUUCGCAUUGUAGAGGUCGAGGGUUCGAGUCCCUUUCGCUCCACCA